rnacentral:rRNA from 1 species
UAACGGCGAGUGAAGCGGCAACAGCUCAAAUUUGAAAUCUGGCUCUUUCAGGGUCCGAGUUGUAAUUUGUAGAAGAUGCUUCGGGUGUGGCUCCGGUCUAAGUUCCUUGGAACAGGACGUCAUAGAGGGUGAGAAUCCCGUACGUGACUGGUUGCCUUCGCCCAUGUGAAGCUCUUUCGACGAGUCGAGUUGUUUGGGAAUGCAGCUCAAAAUGGGUGGUAAAUUUCAUCUAAAGCUAAAUAUUGGCCAGAGACCGAUAGCGCACAAGUAGAGUGAUCGAAAGAUGAAAAGCACUUUGGAAAGAGAGUUAAACAGUACGUGAAAUUGUUGAAAGGGAAGCGCUUGCAACCAGACUUGCGCGCUGCCGAUCAUCCGGGGUUCUCUCCGGUGCACUCGGUUGCGCUCAGGCCAGCAUCGGUUUGGGUGGUUGGAUAAAGGCUGUGGGAAUGUAGCUUCUCUCGGGGAGUGUUAUAGCCCACGGUGCAAUGCAGCCUACCUGGACCGAGGACCGCGCUUCGGCUAGGAUGCUGGCGUAAUGGUUGUAAGCGA